AGAUAGGAAAUAUGAAAAAUAAUAUUGAUUCAAGACGAUAAGUACGAAUCAUAGCGUAAAAAAGACGAAGUACUCGAUUUCCUUCAGUGAACGAAUGCCGUCAGGUUGUUUUCUUCUGCGGUAACAUCCAUGAAGUGUCAAUCCCUUACAUUCGUACUUCCUCAGUAAGUACUACCUAAAUUAUCCUGAAUUUUAUAGUCUUGUCCAGCUCUCUCAAUCGAAGGAAAGACAAUUCCAAGAGUAAUAUAUGAAUUCCAUUAAGAAUUUCAUUAGUUGAAUCGAAGCGAGGAGCGUUUGGACUCAUGUGUUGGUGAGGUGUCACUCACAAGGUAAGAGCUUUUUGUGGAGUUACUUUGCAGGUUCAUUCUUAAAGGUUGUCAUCUGAUGUAAAAUGCAUUGAUAUUCCUUUAUGUACAAAGCUGCCGUUCUCUUAGAUCGAUUACCUCAUUCAGAAUGAAUCCAGGUAUUGUAUGUUAGGCAAUGGCAGUUGACAAGCGUCGGAGUACAACACGCGUUCGGUCCUUUUCUUCCGUAUCGUUAUUUAUCAAUAAUCAUAUAGAAUAAUUUCGCUGGCUGACGCUUAAUUUUCGACUGCUGUGUUCAUUAUGAAGAUGGAAACAUCCCCAGAGAUACUGAUUUGAAAGCUGCAGUGAAGAUCCAAUAUGCAUCCUUCGAAUUGGGUGGAUCCAGGAAAGCUUGACCGGAAGUUCUAUAAGUAGUAAAGAAUGAGGCUUUUAGUCAGAUAACGCUAUUGCUGAUCUUGGCCCAUCUCACGGUUGCACUAUAAACAAACCAUCUGGGGAACGAUGAUCGUCGCUGCACGGGCUGCUUCAAUGACCAAGAUUUGCCGUCCUUUGUCUCACCUUGGAUAGAGGGGGAGAUCCAGGAAAGGCGAAUGUUCUGAUAUUAUUAACGUCUUUCGAAGAUAAAUAUAUCAGUGAUCCAACAACAGCUGAGACAGAUCAGGCACUGUUCCUUGGUUCCAGUUCAGAAACGCGGAUCAGUCCCAAAUCUUCAGAUACUGAAUGGAUCAUUUGCAGGCUCCGUUAAUGUUUAUCUUAAAUUCCUCCAGCGAAUAUGAGCGAUGACCAGCCUGUAGGAAUUCGUAAACGCAGGGUACAUCUUAGAAACGUGGACCAAAAACCCUUUGCCCUUUUGGUAGAUGUGUCCUUCUGCCUCGAUUGAUUCAUCCUGACUCUCCUGUGAAGGAACCCGGUGCCAGAAGACAUCAAAACCUCCUGUCUUCGUGAAAUGGAACGCUGGCGACGAUGAUGACAUCAUCAUUGUGGAGAAGACGAUUUCUUUAUGUGAUGAAGAACUGCUGUGCAAUUCGUGGAAAGGACGAUGACAUUCGCACUUCCUGAACAUAUUGUAUUUAUUGUAUCUUUAAUAUCUCAUGACGUGUAAUCAUCAUAAUAGCAAAUUAUGAAGACUGGUCUUCCAUCGUUCAUUCUUUGUUAACUGAUAUCAUCUUUCGGAAAUAUUAAUAAAAUGUUAUUUGAACCAGA